AGAGAUAAGGUCCUAUAAAUUGAUCAGUUUAGGAGAAGACUAUCUGUGAUGCAUAUAGGUGUCUUUACCUCUACAUUUUCAGGCAUACAUCAUUGUGAGAUUUGACCCACAUAAGAUAACUUAGUGGGAGUGCUAUACCAUCUACAGAAGGAUUUGAAAGUCUUCUUCUUUAGAUUUGCAAAGGCUUACAUAGAAAUGGUUACUAAAGGUUCAUCAGUUGCCAAGAUUGAUUUCCUAUACCAUUGCAAUCAAAAUACAAAAUAUAGAGAUAUACCCUUUAUGAAUAGUGACAUUUAUGUUCAUGCAGUGAGUUUAGAGGGGCCAGCCUUACUGUCUUCUGGGGAG